rnacentral:rRNA from 1 species
ACUCCUACGGGAGGCAGCAGUGGGGAAUAUUGGACAAUGGGGGGAACCCUGAUCCAGCCAUGCCGCGUGUGUGAAGAAGGCCUUAUGGUUGUAAAGCACUUUAAGCGAGGAGGAGGCUACUGAGACUAAUACUCUUGGAUAGUGGACGUUACUCGCAGAAUAAGCACCGGCUAACUACGUGCCAGCAGCCGCGGUAAUACGUAGGGUGCAAGCGUUGUCCGGAAUUAUUGGGCGUAAAGAGCUCGUAGGCGGUUUGUCACGUCUGCUGUGAAAAUCCAAGGCUCAACCUUGGACUUGCAGUGGGUACGGGCAGGCUAGAGUGCGGUAGGGGAGAUGGGAAUUCCUGGUGUAGCGGUGGAAUGCGCAGAUAUCAGGAGGAACACCAAUGGCGAAGGCACAUCUCUGGGCCGUAACUGACGCUGAGGAGCGAAAGCGUGGGGAGCAAACAGGAUUAGAUACCCUGGUAGGUCAGU